rnacentral:misc_RNA from 1 species
AUUUUUUAAUAAAAAUAAUAAUAUAUUAUCGGAGAGCUUUCACCGUUUCAGGAUUUGGGGUGGGGACGAGGGGCCACACAAUACUAGGGUUAGGGCAAGGUAUAGAAAAAUUCGAUAGAUGCGGGGUGAGUCAGGUUGGGACCGAGAACAAUUGCCCUCUCUAAUUGUGAACUUUCAAAUUGUAUAAAAUCUUCUCCAAAAUUAUGCAUUUGGUAACUGAAUGGUCCAACAAUGAUAAUUUAUUCUAAGAUAAAGUACUAUGUAACAAUAAGAGGAAUCAAAUAAAGUUAGCUAAUAAAUCACAUCAGCCAUCAAUUUCCUCUUCAGAAUUUCAUCUCAUUAAUUCAGACUAAUACUCAUAGAAAGAUAAUUAUGAUACAUUUAGUAGGCUUAAUGGAAUGUAAUGUAAUCAAAUAUUCCAUUGAAAUUCAAUAGAAAUUUGACUGUAUUACAUUCCACUAUGCCCGGGCAAACAUAUCAUUAGAGCUUUAUUUCAUUGAAAUAAAAGUACCAUGCUUAUGGAAAGAGUACUCCUUUUUGUACUUGGAAAAGAAGUGUAGCAGUAGCAAAAUAUGCAAGAGAUGCUCCCCCCAUCAUUAUAGCAAAUCCCUAACACAGGUGCUAAUCCUAAUAAACUUCAAUUGAUUUUACAAUUAGCAGAAUAACAUGUUCCUCCAGAUAAAUAUAAACAGGACAGCCCUGCUAAGCCGUCAUCAGCCACACAAUCUAAGUAGAUCUGUAGAAUAUGUAGCUACACAACUCUAUGUUCCAUUCAACAUAUAAGAACAAGGCUAGGAGAAAAAAAGAAAAGCUCUCUGGAGCAAGAGGUGUUUUAGGACUAGUUAUUGAAAUGAUCACGCCAUCGACUGUCACCUGACCACACUCUAUUGUGUUAGUAGUUGAAAGUUUAGACAAUGCAAGGGCCAGGCUAAUGUGUUUGGCCAACAUGGUGUCACUUUUUUUCUACAAAUCGCUCAACCUCGAUGAAUUUCGAUUUUCUAAGGUAAAACAGUCGUAGCUCAAUUCAAAAUCAAAUGGCUCAUUAUUACUUGCAGAUGAACUAGUACCACAGUGAACCCAAUAAAGUAUCAACAACCAAUCUACAAGUUCAAACACACACGUUGCAACAAAAAAAAUGCCCAAGAUGACCUAGGAGAUGGUGGACCCACAAG